GACAGAGGGUGCAAACGUUGUUCGGAAUUACUGGGCGUAAAGCGCGUGUAGGCGGUUCGUAAAGUCGGAUGUGAAAGCCCUGGGCUUAACCCAGGAAGUGCAUUCGAAACUCACGAACUUGAGUCCCGGAGAGGAAGGCGGAAUUCUCGGUGUAGAGGUGAAAUUCGUAGAUAUCGAGAGGAACACCAGAGGUGAAGACGGGUUGCUGGGCCGACACUGACGCUGACAGCGCGAAAGCCAGGGGAGCAAACGGG
rnacentral:rRNA from 1 species